GCACCUACCAUUUCAAGGAAGGAUAUAGAUCAAAGACGCUUGAGGAACUCAUAUCUCAAGAUUAUUGCUCCUUGGUUCUGUGUAGAAAGCCUGAAGAGAUCUGGAGUUUUAGAGGAAAUAAAGCUAAAGAUUGUUGUCUCUUGUUCCUGUGGAGAAGAUUUGGAGUUAGUGGAGUUUAGAAAGGAUUAAAGAAUUUGCAAUAUCACGAAGUAGUAAAUCAAAAAAUAUUACUCAAAGGGUCUUCCUAAGUAUCAAUUUUAUUGAAAAUGGGUCAGACAUUGAACUUUUUGUUUGCUAUUAUAAUUGCUUUAAUUGGCUUUUAUAUUUGUAAAAAUUUUGACUAUGUAAAAUUUUUGGAGUUCAUGUUUCCUACGAAUGAUGAAAGCAGACAUCGUGAAUUAACUUGGGAUCAAUGCUAUAUUUUGAUGGACUUGGACAUAAUUUGAGUUUACUGACAAUUUCAUUAACCAUUUUUAAUAAAAAAUUUAUGUUUUUCAAAAAGUUGGA